rnacentral:ncRNA from 2 species
GUACUUUCGUGCCGCAAUGGUUUUGUUUUCAUUUUGGAAAUGAAUUAAAAGGGAAUCCAGUGUAAAUCUGGAACAGUACCCGCUGCUGUAAGUUUUUAAAAAGAUUAUAACUAAAUGCCACUGUUUUUAUCUAAAAAGUAAAAUGGGAAGGCGUUAUAAUUAAAACAAGUCAGAAGACCUGCCUUUGUAUUGAUUCGCGG